rnacentral:rRNA from 1 species
CCUACGGGAGGCUGCAGUGGGGAAUAUUGGACAAUGGGCGAAAGCCUGAUCCAGCCAUGCCGCGUGUGUGAAGAAGGCCUUCGGGUUGUAAAGCACUUUCAGUGGGGAAGAAAGCCUUGGGGCUAAUACCCUCGAGGAAGGACAUCACCCACAGAAGAAGCACCGGCUAACUCCGUGCCAGCAGCCGCGGUAAUACGGAGGGUGCGAGCGUUAAUCGGAAUUACUGGGCGUAAAGCGCGCGUAGGCGGUCUGAUAAGCCGGUUUUGAAAGCCCCGGGCUCAACCUGGGAACGGCAUCCGGAACUGUCAGGCUAGAGUGCAGGAGAGGAAGGUAGAAUUCCCGGUGUAGCGGUGAAAUGCGUAGAGAUCGGGAGGAAUACCAGUGGCGAAGGCGGCCUUCUGGACUGACACUGACGCUGAGGUGCGAAAGCGUGGGUAGCAAACAGGAUUAGAUACCCCAGUAGUC